UAGAGUUUUCUAAACUCCCAACCCUAUGUGAACUUACCUAUGUUGCCUCGGCGGGGCCUACCCGGUAUCCUCCUUUGGGGGGUCGUACCCUGUAGCCCGCCGGUGGAUUUUCAAACUCUUGUUAUUUUAGUGAUAUCUGAGCGUCUUAUUUUAAUAAGUCA
rnacentral:misc_RNA from 1 species